ensembl:lncRNA
GCCCUGAGAAGGACGUCUUCUUCUUCUGCUGUGGACAUCAGAUAAGUGCUGCGAGACAAAAAGGUGCUGCUGGAACCAAUCAGCUCCCCGACACUCCGCAUGCUGACAGGAUGUGAAACCGUUGGCGUGUGAGUUGCCUGCCGAGGGACGGGUGCCACAGCGUGCUGCCAAACGCUGUAAAUGCACAACUCUUGUAGCGGCAUUAAACAUGCAGCGACGCGGCGCGUGACAGCGAGGCGCCGGACUCCGCCGACCUCUGACCUGCUGCUGAGAGAAACCGCUCCGGAGUUCAACCGCGGCUGCCACUUUCAAUCCUCCCCGGUCCUCCCAGAAUGCCGUUCUGCACGUUGAUGCAGCUGCCGGAGCACCGGCGGCUGAUGAGCGGUGACGGGACGCGUGGCCAAGACCUCAAGCAGGACGGACGGAGCGAGGGGGGCGGCGGCUGAGUCGACCCGGGGCGGCCCGCCGAGGCUCUGGGGGGGCGUGUCAAAGUUGAACAAGAUCAAUCAAUCUAUCAAUCAAUGUUCUAUUGUUUCUCCUCCUUUCUGAGGAAAUCAAUCAGUCAGCACAUGGAUCUGGUGAACCAAUGAUUGAUUAGUGAAGUUGGAGACAACAGCUUUUCCCUUUUACUCAUUUCUAAGCUAGCCGGUAGCUAACUGUCGUUAGCUGCGUCCAUGUUUUCAUGGCCUUAAAUUCAGAGUUCCAUUCCGAUCUGCUCUGACUGUCGUAUUUAUGGAUCAUAAAUCAAUGCAGUGGGUGGAUUUAUGCUCAAACCUGGUUGCAAAAGACAGUAACUGAGGAUGUUUAUGUAAAUAACUACUCAUGAAUGCAUAAGCAGAGAAGAUCAUCACUUCAAGCGACACCUUUCCCAUCACACAGUCACUGGUCCACUUGGUGAUGAAUACCGAUCAGCUGAGACACAAGAGCUAAAGCUGGCGAGGACUCUAAUUAGUUUCGUUAGGACAUCAAAGUAAUCCAGUUUAAGCAACGAGGUGGCUCAUGUAUCAAGUCAGUGAACCACCUUCCACAUUUCACUGCACUUCACACCCUGAGCUGAUCUCUGGACUUUGUGCGCUGGAGUUGUUUGGUUAUUGGGUCUUUUGGCGGCUUUGUGCCCGCUCAGCAGUCGUAUGUUUGUGCUCAGAUCGGCUCCCUGGCUCGUGAUUAGCGAAGUCACAGAUCUGCUGAGCGUGCUCUUUCUCUAAUGGGCUGGCAGUGGCUUCAGACCCGGACGACCACCUCGUUCACAGAGGUGACGAAUCUCUCGCUUCUCAUCGCCGGCCGGCGAAUGCCGACGUCUGCGCACGCUUUCUUCUGCCAGUUUGACAGCGAAUCGCUGAGGCGCUUUCAGACCAUCGAAGGGAAACUGGAGGCGAGUCAAAAAGGAGGAGAAGCGGAAGCAGGAUGCUGUUGGCGAGCGCCGCAGGCCUUCAUUUCCCCGUAUCAGCGGCAGGUAGUUGGAGAUCCCGAUGAAAAAGGGACUUCUUUUGGGUGAUGUGACACGUUUGAUGAAUGAAGAGACAAAGCUUCUCUCUGCUCCAUAAAACAAAAAGCGCUGGAGGUGUGAGCCAGCGUCAGCUCGCCGUCUGUUCCCCUCCGAGGGCUCAGCGACACCAAUUAACUCCCAAACAGCGGUAAUCAGGGGACCUGUAAGAUAGCACACAAAUUCAAUUAGAGCGUCCCCGACCAUAUGCCAAUACGCGUCGUCUUCAAAGUCUCUUUUCCGUGAGCUGGUGACACAAAACGCAGAGGAAGCAAUCAAUAAGAGGCGCGCUACCAAAGAGAGGAAUCCUCUCCGCUUGCUUCAUCUCAAAGCUGCACGGUUCAGCUUUUUAAUUCAUUACACAAUAUUUCUACCCGCCUUCGGAUUGAUUGACAGGUUCUUAAACAUCGGGGGACGUCAGAUUGAAUCCCGCGUUGGGCCCUGAGGUGUCUCCGUGCCGCCCCGCCGGCGCCAGCAGGGACAUAAAUCGAUGAGCGAAGUAAGACGGCGCUGCCAGAGGAGUCCUCCUGCGCCUAAUUGCCUCAGUUUGUCAUUGUGAAAAACACACACGGUGACGGGGGGGGGGGCAAAGGCCAGCGCAGGAACCUGACACACCGUGACCCCCGAGAGCAGGACGGUGCCACUCAGGCUGCCGGGCCACCGCCUUCGGCCAAUGGGAUCGGCUGAAAGGGAACGACCUCGUGUCUCUGGUUGUUCUUAUUAGCCGGCGUCUUCGGGAG